AAUGUAAAAUUAUAUUAGUGAGUGCGACUUGAAAACCGCCCUAUUUUCGAUACUGAAACUGUUAUAAUAUCUCAGUAGUUAUUUUAAACUUAAAAAUAUCAAAUAUUUGUGCGAAAUAAUUUCUAGCUAAUAGGCACUAAAUAAUUCGUAUCCUUAUUUUGCAAGUGUGUAAAAAUACCGAAUACGUUUACUAUAAGAGACUGUAAUCACUGCGAAUUCCUGGUAGCAACAACUAGGUUAAUAUAUGGUAUUCCUCGCUCUGUAAUAUGUAGCGGUGUGCUGAACAACACAUUAUUUUGUUUGAAAUGAUAUAAAAUAUUAAAAUCGGUUGAUACUAAUUGUUUAACUUGAGUUCAAAAAGAGUAGACAUACAUUAAGACACAAUGCUGGAAAAAAUAAUUACAUACAGUGCAGUUCCGACGCAACAUUAUUGUGUGCUAACCUAACUAAUUUGUUUUGUUUAUGUUGUACUUAUAAAUACAAAUAAUUUAUGUUUAAUAGUGUCUAAUGAAAUUAUAAAAUUAAAAUAUAUUUCCUGAGCAAUUUGUUAUAAUGAAAAAUUUGCUGCUGCUUUUUAUAUACUUAAUUAAAUUGCUGGUUGCAACGCAAGGAAACAAAGACGUACCGUUUUAUCAAAUAGAAGCCCUUAUCGGUGAAACAAUACACUUGCCAUGCAAUGCGACUGCUAAAUCUGGUGAUGAAGCCGUUCUAAUACUUUGGUAUCGUGAGGAUAAGGGGACUCCCAUCUACAGUGUUGACAUACGAUCUGGAAUAACUAAAACCGCAAGAAGGUGGUCAGAUGAAAGCAUAUUUGGCAACCGAGCUUAUUUUUUAUUUGAGGGUAAUCCAUGGGAACUAACUAUUCGGAAUAGCCAAAUCUCAGACACUGGAGUGUACAGAUGUCGGGUUGAUUUCAUGAAGGCACAAACCUACAAUAGUAAAAUUGUAUUAAUAAUAAUUGCAUUGCCUAAAGAAAUCAUUAUAAGAGAUGAACAAGGUUUUCAACGUUCAACGGUGGCUGGACCAUACAAUGUAGGCGAUUACGUGAUACUAAAAUGUGAAGCUAUUGGAGGUAAUCCAACUCCGGAAUUAGCUUGGUUUUUUGAAGACAUUAAUUUAGAAUACGAAAUGGCUACUGAUAUUCAAAACAAGUCUAUCCAAAGUGUCAUUAAAUUUGGACCUUUAAGAAGGGAGCACCUUAAUGGACGGCUUACUUGUCAAGCCCGUAAUCACCUAAAAGCAGCACUUGUUCAGGCUAUUGUACAAAUUGAUAUGAACUUUCCUCCACUGAGUAUCCGUUUACUCGGUGCGCACCAACCUCUUUCUGCGGGGCGCCGUUAUGAUCUGUUAUGUCAAAGUGCUGGAGGGAGACCACCCGCAGUUAUAACAUGGUGGCAAAAUGAAAUACGUUUGGAAAAAACUACCGAAACCAUAUCAAGCGAUGGAAACCAAACUACGAGCACAUUAUCAAUUAUUUUUGAGAAAUCUGAUUCUGGAAAAUACCUUUCAUGUAAAGCCUAUAAUCUAGCUAAACCAGUAAUGCCAUUAGUAGAUGGCUGGAUUCUAGAUAUACAAUAUAUACCGGAGGUUCAAAUACGUCUUGGAACAUCUUUAAAGCAAAAUACAAUUAGAGAAGGGGCAGAUGUUUAUUUUGACUGUGUGAUAAAUGCACAUCCUCCUGUAUACCGAGUAGAUUGGCGUCACAACGGUCACAUAUUGCCAAGUAAUAUAUCUCAAGGUGUUAUCAUUAGUAAUCAUUCAUUGGUACUACAGGGCGUUAAUAAAGCAAGUGGUGGUAACUUUUCGUGCAUCGGAUAUAAUACAGAAGGAGAAGGACAAAGCCCUUCUUUCAGCCUGGAUAUUUUAUACGCACCGAUCUGUUUAUCAAACCAAUUAAAGGUAUAUGGAAUUGCAAAGCAUGAAAAUGUGAAUGUGACAUGUAGUGUAGAUGCGAAUCCCCCUAUAGUGGAUUUUAACUGGAUUUUCAAUAACUCCAUUGAGAGUAUAGAUGUCGCUACGAAUCAUAUUUCAAAAACAGGAUUAAUAUCUUCCGUAGAAUAUACCCCACUGACAGAAUUAGAUUAUGGAACUCUACUUUGUACUGCCGCAAACAGUAUAGGCCGUCAACUAUCUCCUUGCAUGUUUCACAUUAUCCCAGCAGGGCGACCCGAUCAAGUUCACAACUGCAGUUUCAUAAACAUCACCGUUUCGUCGGUAAUUAUAUCGUGCGUUGAAGGAUUUAAUGGGGGACUCCCUCAACUAUUUAUCAUGGAAGUUAGAAACAUGUACUCCAAGGAACUGUAUGUUAAUAAAACAUCAUCUCAACCUAGAUUCACUCUCACAACUCUAAUUCCCGGAAAUCCAUAUAUUUUAUCCAUUUAUGCAUCUAAUUUGAAAGGGCGGUCAGAUGCAACGAUUUUAAAUAUAGACGUGAUUAAAACUGUAGAUACCAGAUUAAAUGCAGGACAAGUUCUAAAUCAUCGCGCCGAAUUUGUUUUCUCACCAUUUCUAUCACUUAGCGUGGGAUUAAGCAUUGCAAUUUGCAUAGCAAUUUUGGCAAUAAUUUUUUCUCUUCGUACAACAUGCAAAAAUUCAAGCCAAAUAAUAAAGGAGUUUUCUCACGAGCACAACUUAUGGGAGGUUUCGAGUCGCAGCUCAGGAAGUAAAGAAAUGGACUUAAAUGAAAGUGAUGAAAGAAACCCUGAUGUUAUCCCUGAGCUACUCGAAAUCGAAAAACAGGAAUAUACUGAAAGGAUGAUGCAACAAGUAGCAACUAUUGGGUCUAAUAUUACUAAUCAAUUUUCAAAGCAACCUGAAGUUAUAUCACAUCUAUCGCUCACUUUAAGAAGGGACCUUCCGAUACGAGCCUACUUGGGGAAUGGGCCAUAUGUAGAAGUUCACGUAAGUGAGAAAAGUUUUUGACUGCCAUUCAUUUGGGAGUAGCCAGGAAGGACACUUUUUCAUAUGGCUCAAGCAACUAACGACUUGCGGUUUUAGACCAAGUAUCCUCUGGGUAGCCAACAAAAGUCCUUGUGGAGGCAAGCUAAAGUAAGGAGACGAAGCCCGCGUCCGCGGUUUUGUGGAGGGUUUGGGACCCACCACUUAAAAAUCCUGUCCUAAUGGAACAUGAAGUACAUGCACCUGGAAUGACCGGGCCCAUAAUUGGGAAGGUACCUCUGUCCAGCUGUUUGAUGUUCCAAUACGACUAAAGGCAGAAAUGCCAUCUAAGAAGCGGUCAUAAUAAAGGGCGCAAAUUUAGUGUUGGAUUGGUGGAUAUAAUAAUAUUAAAUAUAAAUCUUCAACACAGAUAUUUAUAAUCCAUCACAAAAUGCGUACUUAAGCAGCAAUGUUAAUCAAUCCAGUUUGCCAAAACACAUAAAAAACCAAAUGUUUUCUGGAUAUAAUUCAUUAGUCAUCGGAAUGAACACCAAGCAAUCUCAUGUAUCAAUGCAGC